rnacentral:lncRNA from 1 species
AGAGCCAGGGGUGAGGAGGGGCUCGGCGGCAGCUGCGGAGACGGCUUUUGGUCUUGGCUAAUUAACCCAGCAAAUGUGACAGCCACCCUGGGAUGUCUUCCACCAGAUCCCUUCUUGCCCUUCCAGCUCUCUUUACCCUUACCUGAGAAAAGGCAGGAGGGAGGGAUGUCCUUGGAUGUGGGCCACUCCAGCAGGAGUGAUGGGGAGAUAACAGGUCUAGGAGAGGGGGGGCUGUUUUACCCAUGUAUCUUCACACGAUGGAUGCCUCUGCAGCCCUUCACCCUUAUCUUUUGAGGGAUGAGGAGUUGCAGAUGUACACAAACAGGAUGGAACAGGGAAAUAGGGGGAUCUGGCAGUGCAUAAAAAAGGCUGCAAAUAUGUGUGGGGAAAGUGUUUUCCUCUGUUCUUUUGUUUCAAGAUGACCAAACCCUCGGCAGGUGGACGGGUGAAGCUCUUGAUUUUCCACCCACUGAGGAUUUGGCCCUGUGAAGGCAGGCAGAAGGGACAUUUAGGCAUCAGUGUGACACACUUUCCCCACCAAGCCUGGAAGCUAUUGCAGCCCAGAAGACCUCCUCACUGCCGCUGGGUGGAAAUAAAGCUGUGGGGUGGCAGCGAGGAAGGCACUUCAGGAGCAGCUGCUGAUUACUGCGAGUAAAACUGUCCAUAACCUCAUCUUAAAUGCAGGAUCAGGCUGCAGUGAGGUUGAAAAGGAUCUGGCAUCCCUGGUGACAGCAUUUGGUGUAAGUGCCAGCCUUAUUUUAACCCAACUGGUACUGUUAAUGCGGGAAUGUAUAGGCACCAAGGAAUAUUUGCAUUCAGUGGCUGCAUAAGGAUUGAAUAUCUCAGAGUGAAAUUCCUAGUGUGAGACAGCCUUGGUAUAUGUUAUGAAGAAUUAAUAUUUAUAGACAGUCUUAGCUGGGAAUUUCUAUACGGAGGAACAUUUGCAUUUCUGGGAAAGAACUUUUUAAGAACUUUUUUUUUUUCCAUCCUCACUAAGUAGAAAUAACUUGUUGAUAUACAGCAUAACAUAUGAAACAGUGAUUACUGUCAUGUUUACAGAUAUUUGAACAAAGUGCAUAUAAUAGAUGUAUUUUUACAUGGUGGUGGUUACAUCAUCUAAAAAAAGAGAUAUGUACACGACUACAUUAAAGAUUUAGGGUUCUAUCCUGAACCAUUUAAGUCAAUAGGAGUUUAUCACAGAUUUUAAUGGAAGCCAGAUAGGGUCUUACAUGCCAAUGUAAUGCAGCUGCUGAGAAAUAAACAUCGACACAGAUGGGUCAAUAUAUUGGUGUCUUCUAAGUUCUAAAGCUGUACUUUGUGAUACCUAUUUCAAUUUUUUGCAAAUUCAUUGUAACUGCAGUGCAGCCACCCUGCUGCUGAAGAACAGGACGUGGAGGGUACCAGUAUUCAUUGUGUAGUAGUGACACCUUCAGGUCACUACCAAAACCAGCCCCCUCUGUUCAAGGUGCUGCACAUGCACUUGUGGAGAAAUAAAUCUUUAGUGAGACAUCUGAUGACUUGACCAAGGACAUAGGGCACAUCAGUGAUGGAGGUGGCAGUGAGAGCCAGGGACUGUAGCUCGAGGGAGAAAUAAGAGCUACAGACCUGCAAACAGAUAAUGUAGUCUGGCUUGGGGGGUUUGGGAUAUUUUUUACCGUGGCGGGGAUAGGGGGAAAGAAAAAGGAAGAAAAAUAAAGAAGUUUAGGUUAAGCUCAAAAUUAAUUUGUUUUAAUUUAUAAAUAAAAAAGAUAAUCUCAAGGUAUUUUGCUUUUGAACACCUUCAUGUUGGGGCAUCUUCUACACUACUGUUAAAAAAUAACAAUGAAAUGAAGUCCUGGCUAUUUAAGAAGAGAAAUUAUUCCCUCAGAUAAACUUUUUUUUUUCUUUAGAUAAUAAAAUAAAAUGUUUUGACUUUAUCCUUUUUAUGUCCUGCUUGAAACAACUUGCCAAAUUUCCUUUAAAUCUGAGAACAGCUUUCCUUCCUGCUAAGCUAUUUUUCCUCUACAAAUAUCAGC